GGCAUUGCGAUGACGGAGAAAGUAUGUUAGGGGUGUUUCCUACAGGGAGGGUGCUGCCAUAGAUUGAGAGCGGCCCGGAGACAUAUAGCAGAAGUUCGCUCCUGAGUAUCUGGGCUGAAAAUUCAUGUAGGCCGGACGUUUUCCGCGUUAAGGAAUCGGAGUAGAUAAGUAGGGUGGUACCGCGGAAGUAUGACUUCCGCCCCUUUA
rnacentral:ncRNA from 1 species